GUUGGGUUUUAUUGGCAGAAAUGACUCAACUUAGGAUGUAGUGGGAAAAAAAACAAAAAAAAACCAUUGGGUUUAUAUAUGAAACGGUAUAUGUUUUUUGAUUAGUACUCACUACUGCAGUCCAUGUUGCAGAUGUUCACGGAGAGGUCUUUGGACGAGUUACAGGCGACACGAUCAGCCAACUGGAACACUCCGUAUAGGGUCCACAGUCCGUUGACGCCUAUUUUUUGACUGUGAUUCAUGUAUGUGGAAUUGAAAUUGGGAGGAAGUGGUGGGUACGCAUCAUUCAUUUCAUUCUCAGUUUUCAAAGAGUUGGGUGGAGGGGCGAUUGGAUUCUCGGUCUCGUUGAACAUGGGCUCGUGAGUUGUACUAGGAAGCUUUGGCAAUGGAGUUCUGGGUUGGGCUUUAGGCAUCUGUGUGGUGUUAGGCGGGGGGUUAGUGGCGGAUUUAGGAGGGGGGCUAGUGGUGAGUUUAGGAGGGCGGUUGGUGGAGGAUAUAGGAGGUGGGCUAGUGGCAGAUUUUCGAGGGGGGUUAGUGGCGGAUUUAGGAGGUGGGCUAGUGGAGGAUUUCGGAGGGGGGUUAGUGGCGGAUUUAGGAGGUGGGCUGGUGGCGGAUUUAGGAGGGGGGUUAGUGGUCUUAGGGGGACGGCUAGAAAUGGGGGCAGCUCUGGUCUUGCGCUUUCCAACGAGAUCCAGUGGAUUGACUUGGUUGACGGUGCUGGUGUCAAAACCAGAAGUCUCCUCGGCAUGGCACACGACUGUUCAACAGAAAGAAAAGGGAAAAUAUUAAGGUCUAUGGGGUGUUUUUCAAGACAUCUCUCAUCUCACCGUAAAACGCUGUGUUCCAUACUGUUCAAGAACUUGUGCCUUUAUUACCUUGGGGAAAAAGCCAAUAACUACACUCUGGGCCAGGACAAAGAAAUGGGCCAAGCAAAAAAAAAAAAAAAAAAGGUGGUUGAAAUUUUGGGUUUUGAAUAAAAGGUUAACAAACCAAUAAAGGUUGGGCAGAAGUUAUUUAAGGAAUUUAAUGCUUUCUUCAGGUGGUAGAGCAGAUGUUAGGAAGCUGUUUUAGGUGUAUUAAUGUGAAGCGGCUCCCAAGUUUAAAUGAUCUGCAGCACUUUUGUGGCAAAAGUGUUUACCAAGAAAAUGUAUCCUGUACAAAGAGAUUUAUUUAUUUAUUUAUUUAUUUUGGUUUAUCAUUGUCAGGGGUGGAAUAUACGUGAGUAAUUGUUCUUUGUUAGUGUACUUGAGUACUAUUUUGGAAAGAUUUUUCGCUCAGGUUUUAGUGAUUACUUGUCAUAGUACUCAAGCCAGUUUACCAGAGAAGUAACAUACAUUUUCCUUGCUAAUUUUUAGUACUUAUUAAAAAAAAAAAAAAUCUCAAAAGCCAUGAAAUUUUUAUUCUUCUUUUUUCUUUCUCUUGGUUUAAUUUCCUAGCUCUUUUUUUUUUGUUGUUGUUCUUGUUAAUGGCACAUUAGCAUUUAUUCCCACAGGAUUAUUAACCAUUAGCGAACCAGAGAAGCAAAUUGUAGGUUUGCCAACAAACAAAAACAUAUGAAAUCUUUUUCUAAAAAUAUUUUUUAUUUUUUGUUCAUUUUGUUUUACAACCAAGUGCGAUAGUUUGCAUACUUGUAG
ensembl:lncRNA